rnacentral:rRNA from 1 species
UACGUAGGUGGCGAACGUUGUCCGGAUUUACUGGGCGUAAAGCGCGCGCAGGCGGACCGAUAAGUCAGAGGUGAAAUCUCCCGGCUCAACUGGGAGGGGCCCUUUGAUACUGUCGGUCUUGAGAUGCCUAGAGGAGACUGGAAUUCCCGGUGUAGCGGUGAAAUGCGUAGAGAUCGGGAAGAACAUCGGUGGCGAAGGCGGUCUGCUGGGGUCUGGCUGACGCUGAGGCGCGACAGCGUGGGGAGCAAACAGG